GAUGAACGCUGGCGGCGUGCCUAAUACAUGCAAGUCGAGCGAACAGAUGAGGAGCUUGCUCCUCUGACGUUAGCGGCGGACGUGUGAGUAACACGUGGAUAACCUACCUAUAAGACUGGGAUAACUUCGGGAAACCGGCGCUAAUACCGGAUAAUAUAUUGAACCGCAUGGUUCAAUAGUGAAAGACGGUUUUGCUGUCACUUAUAGAUGGAUCCGCGCCGCAUUAGCUAGUUGGUAAGGUAACGGCUUACCAAGGCAACGAUGCGUAGCCGACCUGAGAGGGUGAUCGGCCACACUGGAGCGGAGACGCGGUCAAGAGUCCUACGGGAGGCAGCAGUAGGGAAUGUUCCGCAAUGGGCGAAAGCCUGACGGAGCAACGCCGCGUGAGUGAUGAAGGUCUUCGGAUCGUAAAACUCUGUUAUUAGGGAAGAACAAAUGUGUAAGUAACUAUGCACGUCUUGACGGUACCUAAUCAGAAAGCAACGGCUAACUACGUG
rnacentral:rRNA from 1 species